rnacentral:rRNA from 1 species
CAGCCGCCGCGGUAAUACCGGCGGCCCGAGUGGCGGCCACUAUUAUUGGGCUUAAAGCGUCCGUAGCCGGGUUGGUUAGUCUCCCGGGAAAUCUGGCCGCUUAACGGUCAGAAUUCCGGGAGAUACUGCCAGCCUAGGGACCGGGAGAGGCCGAGGGUAUUCCCGGAGUAGGGGUGAAAUCCUGUAAUCCCGGGAGGACCACCUGUGGCGAAGGCGCUCGGCUGGAACGGGUCCGACGGUGAGGGACGAAGGCCAGGGGAGCAAACCGGAUUAGACACCCGGGUAGUCCUGGCUGUAAACGAUGCGGACUUUGUGUCGGACAAGCUAUGAGCUUGUCCGGUGCCGGAGGGAAACCGUUAAGUCCGCCGCCUGGGGAGUACGGCCGCAAGGCUGAAACUUAAAGGAAUUGGCGGG